rnacentral:rRNA from 1 species
AUAAACGCUGGCGGCGCACAUAAGACCUGCAAGUUGAACGGACUUAAUCGAAAUAUUUAUAUUUUGAAGCGGUUAGUGGCGGACUGGUGAGUAACGCGUAAGGAACCUGCCUAUUAGAGGGGAAUAACAGUGAGAAAUCAUUGCUAAUACCGCAUAUGCCAUAGAUAUCACAUGAUAACAGUGGGAAAGGAGCAAUCCGCUAAUAGAUGGCCUUGCGUCUGAUUAGAUAGUUGGUGGGGUAACGGCCUACCAAGUCGACGAUCAGUAGCCGGACUGAGAGGUUGAACGGCCACAUUGGGACUGAGAUACGGCCCAGACUCCUACGGGAGGCAGCAGUCGGGAAUAUUGCGCAAUGGAGGAAACUCUGACGCAGUGACGCCGCGUAUAGGAAGAAGGUUUUCGGAUUGUAAACUAUUGUCGUUAGGGAAGAGAAAGGACAGUACCUAAGGAGGAAGCUCCGGCUAACUACGUG